CCUACGGGAGGCAGCAGUGAGGAAUAUUGGACAAUGGGCGGAAGCCUGAUCCAGCCAUGCCGCGUGCAGGAUGACGGUCCUAUGGAUUGUAAACUGCUUUUGUACAGGAAGAAACCCUUCUUUGCGAAGAAGAUUGACGGUACUGUAAGAAUAAGGAUCGGCUAACUCCGUGCCAGCAGCCGCGGUAAUACGGAGGAUCCAAGCGUUAUCCGGAAUCAUUGGGUUUAAAGGGUCCGUAGGCGGUUUAAUAAGUCAGUGGUGAAAUGCUAUCGCUCAACGAUGGAACUGCCAUUGAUACUGUUAGACUUGAAUAAUUGGGAAGUAACUAGAAUAUGUAGUGUAGCGGUGAAAUGCUUAGAUAUUACAUAGAAUACCGAUUGCGAAGGCAGGUUACUAUCAAUUUAUUGACGCUGAUGGACGAAAGCGUGGGGAGCGAACAGGAUUAGAUACCCUGGUAGUCCACGCCGUAAACGAUGGAUACUAGCUGUUUGAGUAAUUGAGUGGCUAAGCGAAAGUGAUAAGUAUCCCACCUGGGGAGUACGUUCGCAAGAAUGAAACUCAAAGGAAUUGACGG
rnacentral:rRNA from 1 species